rnacentral:rRNA from 1 species
GGGCCGGGCCGGUGCCGCAGUCUCCGUGCGAUCCGACGCACUUCCUCCCGCCCCUUGGACGCCGCAGCCGGUUGGGUCGCUGCGCGAGUCGGCCAUAAGGACGGGCACCGGAAGGUGGCCGGUGGCGUUCCUCGUGUUCGUCGCCGGUCGUUAUCCAGCCCGCCCGUGGCGCGACACCCGACCGAGGUCGAAGGUCCCGGUUAGGACCUUGCCGUCCCCUCCCCCGUGGUCGAGCAGGAGCGCCAGCAGGCGAUUCCCCGUCCGGUCGUCUCCACUCUCCGAGUGGGCGGUCGCCGGGUGACGCCGUUGGCGAGGUGUCUUCCUGCGCGGGGUUGUUUCUUCCGGCGGCUAGCGGCGAGUAGGUCGGUCACCCACCCGACCCGUCUUGAAACACGGACCAAGGAGUCUAACAUGUGCGCGAGUCACGGGGUCUUGCUUAGGCCCAGAGGCGCAAUGAAAGUGAAGGCCGGCCUCGACGCCGGCCGAGUUGGGAUUCUCC